CAGCAUCCUUAGUAAACCCCCCAGCUGCAUAUUGUGGCUUCUGGGACAAGAAAGGAUGCAAGAUCAAUCUUAGAAUUCCAAAGCUGAGAGCUUUUGCGACAGUAGCUCUUGGUUAUUUCACCUCUAAGACAUGA